AUCACUAUUGAUACUUAGACCAUGAUGUCAAUCAAGAGUUUCUGGGUCCUGUUUAGUUAUUAAACACGCAUUCAACAUCAGCAUGUGAUAUGAGGCAUUUGCAUUUGAGACUUGGAAUAUUUGUCUAACUGGGCAGGCAGCUAUCUGGUUAACUAGUGAAGGAAUUCUAUGUGGAUAGGUCAUAGAUGAUAAAAGGUGAGGCC
rnacentral:misc_RNA from 1 species